AUGGAAUUGGAAGGGCUGGCAGGUAAUACAGAUAUGCAUCAACAUACAGACGCAGAGAAGCGCACAUUCUCUGUCACUGUUUGUUUCCCCUCUCGUCCUUGUGCCGUCCGUGAGCGUCAGGUCUCUCUCGCUUUUACGAAGGCGGUAUUGCAAAACCGGCCGAAUCGCUACCGGUUCCAUAGAUGCUGGCUGGAACAAACCGACAAUACACGCUCCAUAUGCAUUUGCUUCGCGCCACUUGCGCUAGCUCAGCUGGGCCGGCGACCCUGUUGCCUCCAGCUCGGUGCUACUGCUACCAAGCAUGGCGAUGGAGUAAAUUGUGGAGAUACCACUCAUUCACUCGGGUAUCAGGGCCACUUCCCCACUAUACCGAUACUCUACUGCAUUACCGUAUAG
rnacentral:rRNA from 1 species